GAUGAAGAAUGUAGCGAAAUGCGAUAAGUAGUGUGAAUUGCAGAAUUCAGUGAAUCAUCGAAUCUUUGAACGCACAUUGCGCCCUUUGGUAUUCCUUAGGGCAUGCCUGUUCGAGCGUCAUUUAAACCUUCAAGCUCAGCUUGGUGUUGGGUGACUGUCCGCUUCACCGCGGACUCGCCUCAAAAUUAUUGGCGGCCGGUACAUUGGCUCUCGAGCGCAGCAGAAACGCGUAACUCGAGGUCCUCGUGCUGGCUCCCAGAAGCUAUCUUCACAAUUUUGACCUCGGAUCAGGUAGGGAUACCCGCUGAACUUAAGCAUAUCAAUAAGCGGAGGA
rnacentral:misc_RNA from 1 species